rnacentral:rRNA from 1 species
UACGGGGGGGGCAAGCGUUGUUCGGAAUUACUGGGCGUAAAGGGCGCGUAGGCGGAUGUGUCAGUCAGGGGUGAAAUCCUGGAGCUCAACUCCAGAACUGCCUUUGAUACUGAAGAUCUUGAGUUCGGGAGAGGUGAGUGGAACUGCGAGUGUAGAGGUGAAAUUCGUAGAUAUUCGCAAGAACACCAGUGGCGAAGGCGGCUCACUGGCCCGAUACUGACGCUGAGGCACGAAAGCGUGGGGAGCAAACAGG